rnacentral:lncRNA from 1 species
GUUGAAGAGAUACCAUUUGAUAUUUUAGAGAUGCCUGCAUGCAAACUCUUAAAACAUUUGACCAUAGGAGUUUUAGCCAAUUCAGAGGCCUUGCUCCCCACAAUUUGGAACAUUCCUUUGGAUUUGACCAAGUCAGGAAGAGAUGGGAGAAAAGUGAAACAACAACAAUAAAACCCCAAGCAUAAACAAACAAAAAGAGUUAAGCAAAACAACAAC